UAUAAACUUUAUUUGUGACCAUGUUAACAGUAUAACACAGCUGUUUCAUUUUCCAUUCCAAGCCCACUUUCUACUUCCUGUCACUCUCCAUUUCUCUGUCUUUCCGCUUGGUUUGCUCUCAUCCACAACCCUAUUUGCAGGUGGACCAUUGUGAUCUGUCUAAAUAUUACCUCUCCCUCGUCCCCUGCGCUCCACAGCCCCUGGAGCUCCCAUCCGUCAGGAGGCAGGAACGGCUCUCCCAUGCAGAAGGCCUCGGUCUGUGGCUGAAAUAUUGAUCACACCGGCUCAUGGAAGAGCUGCCACCCAAAGCCCGUUGUGACAAAGACAGAGAUGGAUUGAAAUAUUUCACGCCUGUACCUCCUACAUGAUUCUCAGAGUUUGUAAUCAGCAUAUGUUGCGCACACCUUCAAAGACGUGAUAGUUAGCGCACAACUUCUGAACAGUAAAAAAGAAAAAAAGGUGAACGUGGGCCAAACAUGGUAGCCGACCGAGAUGGAAUAAAGAUGAGACGCUGAAAUGAAGAUGAUGGUAUCAUAUGUACAUGGAGACAUGCUGCAUCAGGUUUAAUGCUUGCUCGAGUUUCAAAUGCGGCCUGAUUCAUAUAUUCUCUUUUUCUUCUUCAAAAACACAUAAAGUGCUGAUAAAUGGUUUGAAGAGAGAGGCACUAAAAGGAUGAAAUUCCAUAAGAGACUGAACGGAGCGAGUGUGGUAUCAGGCGUCGACGGGGAAUCCAAACAAGUGGCCAUCUCACUCUCCACCAUCUGCGCUCUGAAGACAGCUUUGCAGCGGCCACAAGCAUUCUUCAAACGCUCUUUGGAGGCCGGUUUGGAAAGUUUGUGAUGGUGAUAUCUCUCUGUUUAAAACUCUAAAGACUAAACUUUGAAGCUGAAACUUUUUUGGAAAGGUUUUUAGAAGUUUGAUAUCUUGUUUUUUUUUUUUUUUUUUGUGAACUAAAAGCAAAGUAUUCUAUUCAUGCUCGCUUCUUACUUUAGCGUUGACUUUCUCCAGUACUCAAGAGGGCGCAAGAGUUGCCUUAAAACUAGGCCUGCUAUUCACGGUCAUGUACUUGCAUAGAACAUGUUUCACCAUUUUAUGUGAACGUGAAUAUUCCAUAGAAGUAUUUGAACACUUAAGUCACACUUAAAAAAUCUCUGAGUAUCUCAUUGUGUUAUUUUAGAAUUGUUAUAUGCAGUUGAAGUUUUAAAUAAUAAUUUGGAUUAGCUUUUGUUCAUACGUGUUUUUGUGUGUGUGUGUGUGUGUGUGUGUGUGUGUGUGUGUGUGUGUGUGUGCGUAAUAUUAGUUUUAGUUUUCAUAUUUCUAUUUAGCUUUAAUUUAUUUUUAUUUUUGUACUUAGGCUUACUUCAAUUAGUUUGCCGAGGCAACAGUUCUAAUUUUCAUUUAAAGGGGGGGUGAAAUGCUAUUUCAUGCAUACUGAGUUUUUUACACUGUUAAAGAGUUGGAUUCCCAUGCUAAACAUGGACAAAGUUUCAAAAAUUAAGUUGUACGUUUGAAAGAGUAUUUUUGUUCCAAAAAAUACUCCUUCCGGUUUGUCACAAGUUUCGGAAAGUUUUUUUCGAGU
rnacentral:lncRNA from 1 species